GAGAGAGAGAGAGAGAGAGAGAGAGAAAAGCAAGACUGGCUGUGAGUGAAAACAUGUAAAUAUUCGCAAUGUUAGAUGCCGUUGUCUCCUCGCCUGUUUCUCUUUCAC
rnacentral:miRNA from 1 species